GGCCAGGUGGCGGAAUGGUAACACGCGGGAGACGAAUACAGACUCCUAUAACGUUUCGACUCGCAAGGUCUCCGUUCGAUUCGGGGUCUGGCCU